CGGGCCAACCUCGGGCUUAACGGCCCACCCUCGGGCUUACCAGCCCUCCCAAACCAGGUGGGGCCCCACAAACGCUUCCCCUACCCAGUGCGGGCGGAGAAGCGGGGUCCAUAUGGCAGGUGAAGACGAGAAUCCACUCUGGAGCCGGAUUUGCCUUCUGCAGAAUGCAGACUAGCUGAAUCAUCAGCCCCAUCGCCCAAGGCAGGCAAAACAAGUGGAAUUCUUCAAAGACCAUACCUGGAUGGGGAAAUCCUCGGGGAAGGCCGGGGAACCCUGGGACAUCUUCCGCGAGGUGCAGGCCCUACCAGGCCUCGGGAGGAGGCAGGCCAAGAAAGCGCUGUCUUCUCAUCCGUGUUUCUUCUCGAUAAGGGAGAGAUUGGUCUGUGACUUGUACUCCGAGUAAGAUCCCAGCCAUUCUGUGAAGACCAUGGACCACUAAAAAUGUAAGGAUUGAGCAAAACAGAAAGAGUCCUGGACUAAAUACAGGGGCGCCGCGUGAGCCGCCGGUCUCCCUGCCCUGACUGCGAG
ensembl:lncRNA